GUAAUUAACUCAGUGGUAGAGUAUCUGCCUUACAAGCUGAAAGUCGUAGGUUCAAAUCCUACAUUACCC
rnacentral:tRNA from 1 species